UGGGUAUCAAUUUUGAAGUGAAAGUUAUGAUUUAAUGAAAUUUCAGUAGAUCCAAGGGAUGGAGCUGACUCCAGUUUUGGAGGGGUUGACUCAUGUUGGUCAGGUCGACUUGAGUCUCAGAAGAGUCAACUCGAGUUGUGGAAAAAAACAGAUCGAGAUUUUGAAAUUUGGAUGUUUCUUAUCAAAUUUAAAAAGUAUUUAGGGGAG
rnacentral:lncRNA from 1 species